CGUAGGGUGCAAGCGUUAAUCGGAAUUACUGGGCGUAAAGCGUGCGCAGGCGGUUAUGUAAGACAGGUGUGAAAUCCCCGGGCUUAACCUGGGAACUGCAUUUGUGACUGCAUAGCUAGAGUACGGUAGAGGGGGAUGGAAUUCCGCGUGUAGCAGUGAAAUGCGUAGAUAUGCGGAGGAACACCGAUGGCGAAGGCAAUCCCCUGGACCUGUACUGACGCUCAUGCACGAAAGCGUGGGGAGCAAACAGGAUUAGAUACCCUGGUAGUCCACGCCCUAAACGAUGUCAACUGGUUGUUGGGUCUUCACUGACUCAGUAACGAAGCUAACGCGUGGAGUUGACCGCCUGGGGAGUACGGCCGCAAGGUUG
rnacentral:rRNA from 1 species